UGGGGAAUCUUGCGCAAUGGGCGAAAGCCUGACGCAGCGACGCCGCGUGAGGGAUGAAGGCCUUCGGGUUGUAAACCUCUUUCGGCAGGGACGAAGCGAAAGUGACGGUACCUGCAGAAGAAGCCCCGGCUAACUACGUGCCAGCAGCCGCGGUAAGACGUAGGGGGCGAGCGUUAUCCGGAGUUACUGGGCGUAAAGCGCGGGCAGGCGGUCUGACAAGUCUGAUGUGAAAUCACCCGGCUUAACCGGGCGAGGCCAUUGGAAACUGACAGGCUGGAGGGCAGUAGAGGUAGGCGGAAUUCCGGGUGGAGUGGUGAAAUGCGUAGAGAUCCGGAGGAACACCAGAGGCGAAGGCGGCCUACUGGGCUGCACCUGACGCUGAGCCGCGAAAGCCAGGGGAGCGAACGG
rnacentral:rRNA from 1 species